GCCGGGCACGGUGGUACGUGCCUGUAGUCCCAGCUACUCGGGAGGCUAAGGCUGGAGGAUUGCUUGAGUCCAGGAGUUCUGGGCUGUAGUGCUAUGCUCAUCGUGUGUCCACAGUAAGUUCAGCAUCAACAUGGUGACUUCCCGGGAACAGGGGACCGACCACCAGGUUGCCUAAGGAGGGAUGAACCAGCCCAGGUCGGAAACGGUGCAGGUCAAAACUCCUGGGCUGAUCAGUAGUGGGAUCGUGCCUGUGAAUAGCCACUGCACUCCAGCCUGGGCAACAUAGCAAGACCCUCUCUCU
ensembl:misc_RNA Metazoa_SRP Metazoan signal recognition particle RNA